GACGAACGCUGGCGGCGUGCUUAACACAUGCAAGUCGAACGGAAAGGCCCUGCUUUUGUGGGGUGCUCGAGUGGCGAACGGGUGAGUAACACGUGAGUAACCUGCCCUUGACUUUGGGAUAACUUCAGGAAACUGGGGCUAAUACCGGAUAGGAGCUCCUGCUGCAUGGUGGGGGUUGGAAAGUUUCGGCGGUUGGGGAUGGACUCGCGGCUUAUCAGCUUGUUGGUGGGGUAGUGGCUUACCAAGGCUUUGACGGGUAGCCGGCCUGAGAGGGUGACCGGCCACAUUGGGACUGGGAUACGGCCCAGACUCCUACGGGAGGCAGCAGUGGGGAAUAUUGCACAAUGGGCGGAAGCAUGAUGCAGCAACGCCGCGUGCGGGAUGACGGCCUUCGGGUUGUAAACCGCUUUCGCCUGUGACGAAGCGUGAGUGACGGUAAUGGGUAAAGAAGCACCGGCUAACUACGU
rnacentral:rRNA from 1 species